GAUGAACGCUGGCGGCGUGCCUAAUACAUGCCAGUCGAGCGAACAGACGAGGAGCUUGCUCCUCUGACGUUAGCGGCGGACGGGUGAGUAACACGUGGAUAACCUACCUAUAAGACUGGGAUAACUUCGGGAAACCGGAGCUAAUACCGGAUAAUAUAUUGAACCGCAUGGUUCAAUAGUGAAAGACGGUUUUGCUGUCACUUAUAGAUGGAUCCGCGCCGCAUUAGCUAGUUGGUAAGGUAACGGCUUACCAAGGCGACGAUGCGUAGCCGACCUGAGAGGGUGAUCGGGCACACUGGAACUGAGACACGGUCCAGACUCCUAAGGGAGGCAGCAGUAGGGAAUCUUCCGCAAUGGGCGAAAGCCUGACGGAGCAAAGCCGCGUGAGUGAUGAAGGUCCUCCGAUCGUAAAACUCUGUUAUUAGGGAAGAACAAAUGUGUAAGUAACUAUGCACGUCUUGACGGUACCUAAUCAGAAAGCCACGGCUAACUACGUG
rnacentral:rRNA from 1 species